GGGGGUGCACCGGUUUCGACGGGUGUGAUCGUGGUCUUGAACUGCAGGUGAGGCCGCCUGUCCUCUGAACAGACAAACCUAUAAUCGCCAAGAAAGAAGACGAUUACGAAGAAGAAUACGCACUCGCUGCGUAACUUCCGGGAUUCACUCUGCUCCGCUCUGUGCGGUCUGAACUCCUGUUACUGAUCAGGGCUUGCUUUUCAUGGUGUCUGGUACGUGAAAGGGACUCUUAAUCAGAAUACGGAGGCGACGCUUGUAAUGCUGCUACCGUCUCCCGACAACCACCUCGCAUUACUAAACCUGUAGAUGUUCCUGGUCCGCUCAUCCGGACGGGGGUUCGAUUCCCCCCACCUCCACUA
rnacentral:tmRNA from 1 species